CUGUGCUAGGUGGGGAGUUAGCGGCACCCUGUAUCUGCAAUCCGCUAUAGCAGAACCGAACGCCUUUCCCGGCGGUAUUUAUGGAAGGCAGCGCAUCGUAAGGAACGUUGAUAGCAAGGUCUUAUGCAACGCAAUGCCGUGAACCGUGUCAGGGCAGGAAUGCAGCAGCACUAAGCGGAUUUUUGCGUGUGCCAUGAGGAAGCUUUGAAGGAGUCACCUGCGGUGUUUCCGCUUCGGUAAAUCCCGACAAAAAAGGCUGCACAG
rnacentral:SRP_RNA from 1 species